UUUAUUUUUUUAGGGAUCAAGCUUUAGCUCUCACCCUAUAAAUAAAAUGGACUUCCUUGUCUUCUGUAUUUGAACACAUGAUGUCUAUUUAAAUUUGUUGAUGUUUCCAACUUCCUGUCUGAUUUCCGGACUCGGACUCCGGCAGCACCGGGCCGCCGUGUCUCGGCCGCCGCCUCAGCCGUCUCUGCAUGCGGUCAGACGUGCUGGACAUCCCGGGUGUUUGACCCACAGCGGGUCCCAUGCCGCCGCCGCCGCCGCCGCCGCCGCUGACUGACCGACUGGCUGCACUUUGCUCGGGUUCAUUUAGGGGGCGCCAGUGUAUAAUGUGCGCAUAUUGAGCGACUGAGAUUUGGACAGAGAGGAGAGCAGCAGGAACAGAUGGCCUGAGAUGGCAGCGUACUGAAGGCAAAUUUGAGCUCAGAUCAUUUGGAGCAUCCUGCCACGGACCGAGCGAUCAGGAGAGCACUCCAACAUUUUGGGCGGGGGGGAAUAAAAUAUGCACACAAUACAAACCCACAGCGGAUCAAACACAGUUGUCACAGUUUGCUGAGAGCUCCGGCUUUCUGGCCUCGCACUCCGUGUUUGGGAAGAAAUUUGGGCGUUUUUCUCUAAUAUUCAGGAUGUUCAUCAUGUUUCUGGAAAAAAACAACUGAAGACUGUAUAUAUGUGCACGUUGUAGUGUAAAAUUAACUGUCUUACAGAGUGUUAAACUUUGAGGUAGUCAUGUAGAAGAAAUACUAAUUGUUGGCAUUCUGGAAGAAUAAGUGAAUUUUGUAAAACACGUGGUAAUUUACUAUAAAAUGUACUUUUCAGGCGUAUUUUGAAUACAUUUUUCAAUAAAUUCUGAGGAAGAGACGAAAGGAACCAAAUGUGUUAAAUUUAACCUGGUGUGAGGAAUUUGAGGAAGCGGACAGUGAGAUGAAGUGUGUCACGAUGUCGGGUUUUUUUCUCUGUUUAAAGUCAGACAUUCACAGCUGAGGGCUCAGUGUGUCUGUGAAGCAUCUGCAUUGUUUGACAGCAUGGAUCUUUUCUUUAUCACGUCUCCUUUCAGGCCAUCAUCACAAUGAAUUUAGAUUUUUCAGCCUCGAGUCUCACAGUAAAGAUCGAUGUGUAAGAAUGAAGAGGAAUUCCCGUCUGAACCUAGAAGACGACAGUUUGGUUUUAAGAAUAAGGCAAGACAGAAAUUUCAGUUUAAACCAAGGAGGAAAAUGUCAUUUAUGUCAAAAGUCAUUUAUGCAUUACAAACUGAGGUUAUGGCACAAAUAAAUCACCACAUUUAGUCUCAACUUAAUAUGGGAAUGCUUCAACAACAGGACAAAAACACCCAAAUAUCAAAUAAAAAUACUCACUGCUGCUUAGGAGGCUCUACAGAAAAGGCUGAUUUGUCUAACAAUAAGUUUAAUAAUGAAAUAUUUGAUCAAGUCUAAAACUGUCAGUAGAGGAUUCCAUAAUUCUUCUAAUAUAAAAAUGAAAAACAAAGUUAGGGAUGUUUAAUGUUUCAUCAUGUUUCGCUAAAUUAGUCAUUUGAAGGAAGGUGGAAAUGACUCCUUGGAUCAAUAAUAUAGAAUAACUGCUUAAGGUUGUCAUAUUUUGUGUGACAGACGGGUUUUCCGUACAUCCACCACUGCCACUUCAUCUCUGAUAUAUUAUAAAAAGAAUCACAUUUCUGAUGAAUAUAGAAUAAAAACAUUCCUUGAG